rnacentral:rRNA from 1 species
UGUUCGUUAUUUAGGGCGCAUGGUGGAUGCCUUGGCAUGCUGAGCCGAUGAAGGACGUGAAAGGCUGCGUUAAGCCUCGGGGAGUUGUCAAUUAAGCGUUGAUCCGAGGAUGUCCGAAUGGGGAAACCUGGCACCUGUUAUGGGGUGUUACCCUUCAGUGAAUUCAUAGCUGUUGUGGGGGCAACGCGGGGAAGUGAAACAUCUCAGUACCCGUAGGAAGAGAAAAUAAUAAUGAUUCUGCUAGUAGUGGCGAACGAACGUGGAUGAGGCUAAACCGUGUGCAUGUGAUACCUGGUAGGGGUUGUGUGUGCGGUGUUGUGGGCCCUGAUGAGGAUGGCUACUGACGUCCUGCCCGCGCAUUGUUGUUAGGUGAAGUGGUGUGGAAACGCCUGCCGUAGAAGGUGAUAGUCCUGUAGCUGAAGAUGAUGGUGUGUGGGUUGUUGGGUUGCCCGAGUAGCAGCGGGCUCGUGGAAUCUGCUGUGAAUCUGCCGGGACCACCCGGUAAGCCUAAAUACUCAGUGUGACCGAUAGUGGAUAGUACCGUGAGGGAAUGGUGAAAAGUACCCCGGGAGGGGAGUGAAAUAGUUCCUGAAACCAUGUGCUUACAAUCCGUCAGAGCACUUUUUGUGUGUGAUGGCGUGCCUUUUGAAGAAUGAGCCUGCGAGUCAGCGGCAUGUCGCGAGGUUAACCCGUGUGGGGUAGCCGUAGGGAAACCGAAUCCUAAUGGGGUGUUUUAGUGGCAUGUCCUGGACCCGAAGCGGGGUGAUCUACCCAUGGCCAGUGUGAAGCAGCAGUAAGAUGCUGUGGAGGCGCGAACCCACGUAGGUUGAAAACUGCGGGGAUGAGCUGUGGGUAGGGGUGAAAGGCCAAUCAAACUCCGUGAUAGCUGGUUCUCCCCGAAAUGCAUUUAGGUGCAGCGUCGCAUUAGCUUGGUGGAGGUAGAGCUACUGGUUGGUUGAGCGGGACUACAAUCUUAGCAAUGUCAGCCAAACUCCGAAUGCCAUUAAUGUGUUGUGCGGCAGUGAGACUGUGGGGGAUAAGCUUCAUAGUCGAGAGGGAAACAGCCCAGAUCGCCGGUUAAGGCCCCUAAGGGUGUGCUAAGUGGAAAAGGAUGUGGGAUCGCGAAGACAGCCAGGAGGUUGGCUUAGAAGCAGCCAUCCUUGAAAGAGUGCGUAAUAGCUCACUGGUCGAGUGGUUCUGCGCCGACAAUGUAGUGGGGCUCAAGCACACCGCCGAAGCCGCGGCAAUAAUAUUUUGUUAUUGGGUAGGGGAGCGUCGUGCACGUGUUGAAGCGUUACCGUGAGGAGGCGUGGAGUGUGUGCGAGUGAGAAUGCAGGCAUGAGUAACGAAUUGGAAGGUGAGAAUCCUUCCCGCCGGAUGACUAAGGGUUCCUGGGUCAAGUUCGUCUUCCCAGGGUGAGUCGGGACCUAAGGCGAGGCCGACAGGCGUAGUCGAUGGAUAACCAGUUGAUAUUCUGGUACCCGAGUAUAUGCGCCCCUGAUAAAGCACUGAUACUAACCACCGUAAGCUGUUGUGAUUGGCCUUCGGGUUAACAUGGUGGCAAGCCGUGGGGCCUGAUGUGUGGUUCAAGCGAUGGGGUGACACAGUGGGGUAGCCAUGCCGCUUAGUGGAUUGUUGGUGUAAGCGUGUAGGUGAUGGUGUAGGUAAAUCCGCACUUGUUAGCUGAGACGUGAUGCGUAGCCUUAAUUGGUGAAGUUGGUGAUCCCGUGCUGUCGAGAAAAGCCUCUAGCGAUGUAUAUACUCGGCCCGUACCCCAAACCGACACAGGUAGUCAGGUUGAAAAUACUAAGGCGUUCGGGUGAACUGUGGUUAAGGAACUCGGCAAAAUGCCCCCGUAACUUCGGGAGAAGGGGGACCCUAUGGCGUUAACACCCAUUUGCGGUGGGAAGCGUUGUGGGGUCGCAGAGAAUAGAGGGAAGCGACUGUUUAUCAAAAACACAGGUCCAUGCGAAGACGUUAAGUUGAUGUAUAUGGACUGACGCCUGCCCGGUGCUGGAAGGUUAAGAGGACCGGUUAAUCAAGCUUUGCUUGGUGAAGCUGAGAAUUUAAGCCCCAGUAAACGGCGGUGGUAACUAUAACCAUCCUAAGGUAGCGAAAUUCCUUGUCGGGUAAGUUCCGACCUGCACGAAUGGCGUAACGACUUCCCUGCUGUCUCAACCACAGGCCCGGUGAAAUUGCACUACGAGUAAAGAUGCUCGUUACGCGCGGCAGGACGAAAAGACCCCGGGACCUUCACUAUAGCUUGGUAUUGGUGUUCGGUUCGGUUUGUGUAGGAUAGGUGGGAGACUAUGAAACGUGUGCGCCAGCACGCGUGGAGUCGUUGUUGAAAUACCACUCUGAUCGGAUUGGAUACCUUAACCUUGGCCCAUGAUCUGGGUUGGGGACAGUGCCUGGUGGGUAGUUUAACUGGGGCGGUUGCCUCCCAAAAUGUAACGGAGGCGCCCAAAGGUUCCCUCAGCCUGGUUGGCAAUCAGGUGGUGAGUGUAAGUGCACAAGGGAGCUUGACUGUGAGAGUGACAGCUCGAACAGGGACGAAAGUCGGGACUAGUGAUCCGGCACCUACUUGUGGAUGUGGUGUCGCUCAACGGAUAAAAGGUACCCCGGGGAUAACAGGCUGAUCUUCCCCAAGAGUCCAUAUCGACGGGAUGGUUUGGCACCUCGAUGUCGGCUCGUCGCAUCCUGGGGCUGGAGUAGGUCCCAAGGGUUGGGCUGUUCGCCCAUUAAAGCGGCACGCGAGCUGGGUUCAGAACGUCGUGAGACAGUUCGGUCUCUAUCCGCCGCGCGCGUUGAAACUUGAAGAAGGCUGUCCCUAGUACGAGAGGACCGGGACGGACGUACCUCUAGUGUGCCAGUUGUUCCGCCAGGAGCAUCGCUGGUUGGCUACGUACGGAAGGGAUAACCGCUGAAAGCAUCUAAGCGGGAAGCCUGUUUUAAGAUGAGGUUUCAUUUGAGGUCCCCUAAAGACUAUGGGGUUGAUAGGCCAGACAUGGAAGCACCGCAAGGUGUGGAGUCUACUGGUACUAAUAGACCAAAACAAACACACACGAACC